UCUCCGUAGGUGAACUUGCGGAGGGAUCAUUACCGAGUGAGGGCUUCGGCCCGACCUCCAACCCUUUGUGAACCAAAACCUCUGUUGCCUCGGGGGCGACCCUGCCGUUCGCGGCGUGGGGCCCCCGGAGCCCAUCAAACCCUGCGUAACUAAGUCGUCGGAGUUUAAACAAAUUAAACAAAACUUUCAACAACGGAUCUCUUGGUUCGGGCAUCGAUGAAGAACGCAGC
rnacentral:misc_RNA from 1 species